rnacentral:tRNA from 1 species
CGGGGCGUGGCUCAGCUUGGUAGAGCACCGCGUUCGGGACGCGGGGGUCGGAGGUUCGAAUCCUCUCGCCCCGACCA